UGAUGACGAGACGCUAAGGCGUUGAAGCAGUGUAUGUCAGACUUCCAAGAAAAGCUCGCAAUGUCACAAAUAAAAAUGCCUGUACCAUAACCGACACAGGUGGGUAGGUAGAGUAUACUAAGGGGCGCGAGAUAACUCUCUCUAAGGAACUCGGCAAAAUGACUCCGUAACUUCGGGAGAAGGAGUGCCUUAUUUAUAAGGUUGCAAUAACAAGAUCCAAGCAACUGUUUAUCAAAAACACAGGUCUCCGCUAAGUCGUAAGACGAUGUAUGGGGGCUGACGCCUGCCCAGUGCCAGAAGGUUAAAGAAGUUGGUUAGUGUAUGCGAAGCUGAUGACUGAAGCCCUGGUGAACGGCGGCCGUAACGAUAACGGUCCUAAGGUAGCGAAAUUCCUUGUCGGGUAAGUUCCGACCCGCACGAAAGGCGUAAUGAUUUGGAUACUGUCUCGGAGAGAGGCUCGGUGAAAUAGACUUGUCUGUGAAGAUGCGGACUACCUGCACCAGGACAGAAAGACCCUAUGAAGCUUUACUGUAACUUGAAAUUGGAAUUGGACUUUGCUUGCGCAGUAUAGGUGGGAAGCGUUGAAAAUAUUCUUGCGGGAGUAUUGGAGCUAUCAGUGAGAUACCACUCUUGUAAUGUUAGAUUUCUAACUUUGAACCAUAAUCUGGUCAAAGAACAGUUUCAGGUGGGCAGUUUGACUGGGGCGGUCGCCUCCCAAAUGGUAACGGAGGCGUACAAAGGUUUCCUCUGAACGGAUAGAAAUCGUAUCUAGAGUGUAAAGGCAUAAGGAAGCUUGACUGUGAGACCUACAAGUCGAGCAGGGACGAAAGUCGGUCUUAGUGAUCUGACGGUACUGAGUGGAAAGGCCGUCACUCAACGGAUAAAAGUUACUCUAGGAUAACAGGCUGAUCUCCCCCAAGAGUUCACAUCGACGGGGAGGUUUGGCACCUCGAUGUCGGCUCAUCGCAUCCUGGGGCGGUAGUACGUCCCAAGGGUUGGGCUGUUCGCCCAUGAAAGCGGUACGCGAGCUGGGUUCAGAACGUCGUGAGACAGUUCGGUCCAUAUCCGGUGUAGGCGCUAGAAUAUUGAGAGGAGCCUUCUUUAGUACGAGAGGACCGAGAAGGACACACCGCUGGUGUACCAGUUAUCGUGCCAACGGUAAACGCUGGGUAGCUAUGUGUGGAGUGGAUAACCGCUGAAAGCAUCUAAGUGGGAAGCCCACCUCGAGAUGAGUAUUCCC
rnacentral:rRNA from 1 species